CCUACGGGAGGCAGCAGUGGGGUAUAUUGCACAAUGGGGGGAACCCUGAUGCAGCGACGCCGCGUGGGUGAAGGAGUGCUUCGGCAUGUAAAGCACUAUCGGCAGGGAGGAAGCAGGACGGUACCUUACUCAGAAGACCCGGCUAACUACGUGCCAGCAGCCGCGGUAAUACGGAGGGGGCGAGCGUUAUCCGGAGUCACUGGGUGAAAAGGGAGCGUAGACGGCCAGGUAAGCCAGGUGUGAAAGCCCGGGGCGCAACCCGGGGACUGCCCUUGGGACUGGGCGGGUAGAGUGUGGGAGGGGUAGGCGGAAUUCCUGGUGUAGCGGUGAAAUGCGUAGAUAUCAGGAGGAACACCGGCGGCGAAGGCGGCCUGCUGGACCGAGACUGACGUUGAGGUGCGAAAGCGUGGGGAGCGAACAGGAUUAGAUACCCUAGUAGUC
rnacentral:rRNA from 1 species